AGCAUGUAUUGUGAAGUCAUCCACCUUUAGGCUCAGGAGAGCUAACAGGAAGUGUCAUUUUUUUUUUUCCAGUGUGCUCCUUAAUGAUACAACCCUUCUGCUGGCCUUCACUUUGGCAAGGAAUACCCAUGUCAUGGAUUUGUGUUUGACUCAUUUUGGCAUGGAGUAUUUCAGCAAAAUUCCAGCGAACUGUGAAGUCCUACUCAGACAGCAAAGAAUGAGUGAAAGAAGGAAAAGAAGAAAGAGAGGGAGGGAGGGGAAGAAAUAAAACAGGUCACCCUUCCUUAUUGAGAUUGCUUGCUUCUAUUAUACAGGGAUAAUUUCUCCAUUAUCUUCACAGUUUUUAGAAAAUCCAAAUACCCAGUGAGAACUUGUUUAAUUGACAUAGACUUCUGCUAUUCUUCAAAAAUUACAAAGCAAUUUUUGGUAAAAAGAUAUUGUCCUUUGCAUAUGCUAUUGGAAAUAUUUUGACCUAUGAUAUGUGACAAUGAAUAAAGCAAAUAUUGAUUAAAUAAUACUUAUCAGGUAGUACAUUGUACAUGUUAAUGUGUAACUUCCAUUUCUCAACAUAAA
rnacentral:lncRNA from 1 species